UCGGGAAUUUUGGGCAAUGGGCGAAAGCCUGACCCAGCAACGCCGCGUGAAGGAUGAAGUAUUUCGGUAUGUAAACUUCGUAAGAAUAGGAAGAAUAAAUGACGGUACUAUUUGUAAGGUCCGGCUAACUACGUGCCAGCAGCCGCGGUAAUACGUAGGGACCAAGCGUUGUUCGGAUUUACUGGGCGUAAAGGGCGCGUAGGCGGUGUGUCAAGUCAGUUGUGAAAUCUCCGAGCUUAACUCGGAACGGUCAACUGAUACUGUCACACUAGAGUACAGAAGGGGCAAUCGGAAUUCUUGGUGUAGCGGUGAAAUGCGUAGAUAUCAAGAGGAACACCUGAGGUGAAGACGGGUUGCUGGGCUGACACUGACACUGAGACGCGAAAGCGUGGGUAGCAAACAGGAUUAGAUACCCGCGUAGUCCCUGAGCGGGCUGGCAAGGCGCAU
rnacentral:rRNA from 1 species